rnacentral:rRNA from 1 species
GACGAACGCUGGCGGCGUGCUUAACACAUGCAAGUCGAACGGAAAGGCCCUUCGGGGUACUCGAGUUGCGAACGCGCGAGUAACACUUGGGUGAUCUUCCCUUCACCUUGGGAUAAGCCUGGGAAACUGGGUCUAAUACCGAAUAGGACCACGCGCUUCAGCGUGUGUGGGGGAAAGCUUUGGCGGUGUGGGAUGGGCCCGCGGCCUAUCAGCUUGUUGGUGGGGUAGUGGCCUACCAAGGCCACGACGGGUAGCCGGCCUGAGAGGGUGACCGGCCACACUGGGACUGAGAUACGGCCCAGACUCCUACGGGAGGCAGCAGUGGGGAAUAUUGCACAAUGGGCGCAAGCCUGAUGCAGCGACGCCGCGUGAGGGAUGACGGCCUUCGGGUUGUAAACCUCUUUCAAUAGGGACGAAGCGCAAGUGACGGUACCUAUAGAAGAAGCACCGGCCAACUACGUG